UUAAAAAAAAAAAAAAAACUGUUAAAUGCUAAAAUCAAGACAUUAUAAUAUUCUGCUGUUUAUAGUUUACUUUCUACAGACCCUACACGUUCUUAUACACUCUACAAUAAGUGAACAAUUAUAAAUAAACGAUAAUUGUAAUACCAAAUAAGAAAUAAUAAUUUACGCCUAUAUUCGUGUACAGACAAAGAAGUUUCUGGCUUUUGACGUUUCGG